rnacentral:lncRNA from 1 species
UCGUUUGUGUCGUAAGAAAUAAACGCGUGUUAUGUUUGACGGCUCCAUUCUACAAAUAUUGUGAAAUAGGGAACUUUCUUACCAUUGCGCGAUGUCGAGCUAGCUGGUUGCUGCGUUGGUGAAAUGGCUUCGUGCGGUUAUUCUCUCUUGCUUCAAGAUCCUACACCUUGAGGAGCAAGCUGGAGGAAUACCGACAAUAUACAGUGUAUUGCUUUGAGUGAGUGUGACAAAGACAUAACGCAGCACCUCAAGACCUGUAAAUUAGUGGCUGAUGAUUUUGUUAAAGACNAACAAACACUUCUACUUGCAAGAGCAGGUAACUGAUGUUGUUUCUUUCAUAACUUUCAUACUUUCCGGUUCCCUGCUAGCAGAGUUCAUCCACGGGAGACGCUAUUAGCAUGGAAACUCUACGGCAACCCCAAAAGCUAACCUUUAAUCGUGUUUAAUUUUAAUUGAAGGAGUUUUUCAAUCAGAUGAUUCGAAUCUGUCUUUGACUAUUUGUCCACACCACCGGGAUGCCUGUGGUGCUCAUUGGGAAUGCGGGGAAGUGAGGUGUCCCAUUCCAAGUGAGGUAGCUUCUCACAAGUCCUCUGCAAAAGGAGAUCGUAGUGUUAACAGCAAUGAGUCACAGUACAUCUUCUUCAUAACGAAAACAUUGAUCCCAGUAGGAACACUAAUUUGUAAAAGAUGCAAAGAGCAACUUGCCGAUAAAGUGAAGGAUUUUGUUGACACAACUGCUCGCAAAGGAACAUCCCAUGUGGAUGACGCAACUGAGGGCUUCGAUAACCAAGAAAGUAGUGGAGAAGAAAGCGUGCAACAGGGGAGCGAUAAACAGGCUUCUUAAUGCGACGAGCUAGCGAAAAAAAUGGAGAAGCUUGAGCUUAACACUGCGUGAAAUGAGAGAUGUCAAGGAAAAUACGAGUUCUUGACACGCGCUGAUAUUUAACGUAUCCGGGAGCAGUACUCAACGUGUCAGGAUACUUAAAGUAUCGUGGGGUGUCAAAGUCCGUAUACUUAAUAUCUUGAA